CGGGCGUGUUAGGUUGUGCGGGCAGCGGGGUCGUUCGCCCGGACGUAUGGACGAUUGUAUCAUGCGGGCAGUGGCUGGGUGCGCCCGGAUGCCGUCGUGCGGGCAGGGUUGUCGUCCAAAAUCAAACCCUCUGACCCACCAUCAAUGGCGGCUCGCCGCGGCCGACGGCGAUCUCUCAUCUCUCCCUCCGCCACACCGCGGCCUCGUUAAGCGCACGCGCAAGGUCGUGCCCCCUCGGCAUCCAGCAGACGAGCCUCUCUCUCGCCCGCGGGUCGGCGCCGGCCCAUUCCUUCCGCAGUUCCAUUCCCACGGGAUCUGAUCCGGUGACUAUGUGCACGCGUCGGCCGUCGUCGGGAGCUCGUUCUCGCGGCGCGAAUUACGAUCUUCGGAUACCGUUACCUGAGCCUCUCCGCCCGACAACUUCGUCCUCAUUCCUCAGCGAGCGCCCUUGGGAGCACAGCACAUGACGAUCCACAGACAUGGUAUUGGUACCCACUGCCCAUUGGAGACAUGUUUGGUGGACUCUGGCUCUCUGCUCGUUGGAAACAACCUAUUUUUUCAGUUAUCUGACAGGUUUCCAUUGUGUUCUGUUAACUACUGCACUAUGAUUCUCUAUUUUUUACUGCACCGUCACGUGAACUGUAGCUAUGCGCCAUUGUUACUCUGCAUCAGAGUAAAACUUAAAAACCGAUCAUUGUCCAAAUCAUUUUUCAUUUAGGCGCUCUUCGCUUCACCACUCUGAUUUUAGGCUCUCAUGACAUCAUUGAAUAUCAGUUUGUUUAGCUGGAUACUCAUCUUAAUUCCUUUUGUUAAUAAUGACCGUUCCACAGCUCGCACUUUCUAUUUAUAGUGACCACUCAGUGGAUGUAAAACAGUUUGAACACUUAGCAGCAGAAGCCUGGACGGCAGCUCCAUUUAUACUGCUAAAAACCUUCACAAUCAUUAAGUUAUAAGCACAAACUGUUUUAUUUGUUCACUCAAAUACACACAGCAAAGUGGGACGGAGUUCCGAUGAACUGCAGCUCAUCGGAAAAGCAUACAACCUCAUGAUUACCAGUA